AUACUUAACAAUUGGCGCAAGCCUUAUCCUGCCCUUCCCCGUGAGUGAUGAAGGCCCUAGGGUUGUUAAGCUCCUUCCCCGGUUAAGGUUAUGACGGUAGCCGGAGAAGAAACCCCCGCCUACCUCCUGCCAGCAGCCGCGGUAAUACGAAGGGGGCUAGCGUUGUUCGGAAUUACUGGGCGUAAAGCGCACGUAGGCGGAUCGGUCAGUUAGGGGUGAAAUCCCAGGGCUCAACCCUGGAACUGCCUUUAAUACUGCCGGUCUUGAGUUCGAGAGAGGUGAGUGGAAUUCCGAGUGUAGAGGUGAAAUUCGUAGAUAUUCGGAAGAACACCAGUGGCGAAGGCGACUCACUGGCUCGAUACUGACGCUGAGGUGCGAAAGCGUGGGGAGCAAACAG
rnacentral:rRNA from 1 species